GUCAUCAUCUCCCAACCCAAGAAACCCUAUCCUUUCCUCAUAAAGUAAAUUAACUUUCUUUUCACUUUAAUCAUCUGAAACCCUAGAGGCAGUGGCCAGCCAGCAGGGAGGGAAGAAGAUCACAUCUCAUCAAAAGGCUGUCUGUUUUGUCCUUUCUGCUUAACUUGUCAAAAUUGUUUUGAUCUUUGUGUGCAAGAGAAAGAGAGAGAAAGAGAGAGGUACCCCGGUGCUGUUGACAGAAGAUAGAGAGCACAGAUGAGGAUGUGCCAUUAGAGAGUGUUUCUGCAUCUCCCUCCUUUGUGCUCUUUAUGCUUCUGUCAUCUCACCCUCUUCAGUCCCUCUAUUUUUUUUUUUUUCUCGUUUUGUUUUGUGAAAUCUAACUGAUCUGGGUUGUGUCCUCCAUUCAAACAUUAGGCCUUUCUUGCCCGCUGAAUCAUUUAUAGCUUCUUCUUCAGCUCCCUUUUUGCAGUCCGCUACUGGAGAAGGAAGAGAGCAACUUAGACAGUUUCUGAUCCUAUUUGCAAGGUAUUGAACUUGGAUUCCACAUUGAAGGUAAUGUGUGGUUUAUAUAGUUUGGGGCUCUCUCACCCGAACGACUAGCUUUUAGCAAGUGAUUCACUCGAUAUAGAGUUAUGGAAGCUUGUAUACAAUAUUGAGGUAAAAAAUAAGAGGACAGAUGAUGAAGCGUUCGGGUCUGGAAACUUAAAGUCAGCCUUUGUUCAUAGAGAAUGAAUUGAAGAUACCCACUAAAGUUUAUGAGGGCUCAUGAUCUGGAGCAGAAUCCCUGAAGUUCAUAAUUAUUUUUAGGAACUACAUCUUGAUAGCUGGUCAUUGUUUGUUAGGUCUUUGGCUCUGAUCUUUUAUGCUUUUUCACACGUAACUGAAGUCUAUCUUCUAUUGGGAAUUGCCUCCCUUGGAAAGAAAUCGAACUACAAGUUGGAUGGGAAAGAAUAAUCAGAUAUUAGACCAUCGGUAUAAGUUGCGUGCUCUAAAUUGUUGUGUGCACACCAACGCAUCAUGGUUCAGAUGCAUAGGUUCCAUCUCAUUGAGAAAUAAAUGGCCUCUUUUAUUGAUCUGAUGAACUUAAUACAUGCUUCACUUCCCCAUUACAAAUAGCAGGGAUGAUUCGCCAACAAAACAAUAAGUAGCUAGAUGUGGAAACCAAAGUACCACUUGGUUGGUGGGAGAGGUGCCUAUUCUAAGUUACAUGUGUGGUCAGGGAUUAUUCUUUUUUAUUGUUCUGAGAACUGCCAAUGCUAAUUGGAAGCCUCAAUGGCAUCAAACAUUCGUUUAGAAGUUACAAUGACAGCGUGGUAAUAGUGACAGUGGACAAUGGUUUAGCUUUGUCAGUGGGUUAGGUUUGUUCUUUCUUCCUGUUCUUCUUUGUUGCGAUUAUGAUCGAGGUGUGAAGCAUCUACAAAUGUUGGGCAAAAUUAUGCAUUUGAUGUGCAAGGUUAGAAGCUUAAUUAACCUUUGCGAGCAAUCUUUCAACUGUUUUUACCUACAGUUACGCUUAAUCCUUUUGAGGUGGAUAGAACACAACCAACUCGAGCUUAGAAAUCUGUCUUUUUAUCUUUGUAGUAAACUGGCAUGUCAUGUUAUCCCAAACAUCAGGGAGCCGGACUAACAGCUAUGGCGCAGAAAAUUUCAUCAAGAAGAGGGGAGCUUGUGUAUACAAGUAUUACUACUUCUGGUAAUGUUAACUAGAGAAGUUAGUUUUCACAAGCGGCAUUGAGGCAUUUACAAUAGUUUGUUUAGUUCAGUCGUACACACUCACCACUAAAUUCACAUUGCCUGCAGAAAAUACAUCGGCUGGUGGUGUUUUGCAAUGAAAAUUCAUCGCCCUAAUCAGCAUUAAGCUUCUAACUGAUGAUAGAGCAGAAUGAUUAGCAUGCAUGUAUAUCUUGGGCUAAUGUUUCGAUAAGAGCGUCACAAGCCCGCUAUGGAAUGGAGAGGACUUGAGGGAGUUCGAGAUUAAAGGUUUGCUGGGGAACGCGAUUUCUCGUGGUAUGUACAUCUAUACAGACAUUUGACUGAUGGACUAGGGUCUAUAAGAAAGGAAAUUGUCUAAAGGCCUUCCACUUUGGUCAGAGGUUCAUCAAGACAUGAAGUGCUACGAGUUUAGAGCAUGGACUUCACGAAAAUCAAAGAAAUUGCUUUUGAGGCUCUAGUCUGUUUGACGUGGCUUUCUUUUUUGUGAAUUCCCACCCUUAGGCCCUCCAAACAUAAUUCUGUUGUUUUAUUCAUUAUGGUGUGGAAAUUACCGCACCGCAGAGCUCAUGGACCAUGUAAGCCGCGAGCCAAAAUCUCUGUGUAGCUCGAACAUGAAAAAUUUAAACAUGGGGAUUUAAGAAAUCAGAAUCGUUGGUUGUGGUGGUGGAGAAGAGGAGUUACAGACUUGAGAUUGCUCUCACGCUGGUUUUACAAGGCAAAUCUGAUCAAGAAAGUCUGCAACAUUUUAGAACACAGCAAGUCAUAAUUCUUCGAUGAAACUAAUAUUAAUCUUUGAAUAAUUUCAUUAAGAUAUAUCCAUGAGACAUUGCUUAAGCUGUCUAAGCAACAUGAUUAAGUGACAUGAUAAUGGUUAUGGUGCAAAACAAUAUCCCUUACGCUCCGCAUUUCUCUAUCGUCAAUUCAUUGUUUACGGUUUAUUUAGCUUUCCUUUUUGUUUUACCGUCGUUUAGAGACGAAAAGAUCAUCAUUCAAAUGAUCACUCUGAAUGUUGCACUUGAUUAUCAGCUCAUAAUAUGACAUCACAUCGACACAAGUAAAAAAUGCGCACUCCACAGCCAUUCUUCAAUAUUGCAUGCAUAAGUAUACACAUCCAGUCGCGCCAAUGUGGGAAAAGGUUUGUGUCCAAGAUGUGUACUUAAAAUUGUCAAUGCAAAAGUUGUAUAGAGUCUUCAGUUUCCAUGCUUUUGGACUCAUGACCCCAAAUGAUCAACUUGCAGAAUCAAAUCAAGUACAAGUGGCAAGAUUUCAAAUCUAUCAUAAUGACAUGAUUGAUCACCGGAAUGACGUGACAUGAGUAAGAAGAUAUCAACUGAGAAGGUCUAAGAAGCUGAGAAGCUGAGGAUGGAUGGAUGGUCGAAGCAAUGGCACCAUUAAGAAUCAGAAAUGCCUUGAGCUCAGGAGGUGCAUCAGGCUAAGCAUGAAGAAGUACAAGGAAAGGAUUUAAGAGUAUGUGUGCCUGGAACAAAUUCGGUUCGGAGACAACGAUGUUGUGCUUCGAUGGGAGCCUAAAGAGGGAAAAAAAAA